CCGACAAUCUCCCCCACUCGCGACUCUCCCAGAUUGCCCAGGGAGCAUGUAGGAGAUGGAAGCACUUCGGAAACCGAAUGCUACGGACCAAGAGAAGCAGGAAAAAUGGCAAAGCAAUGUACUCUGAAGAUUUCAAACAAGUUCUGAGAGAAUAAUGACCUUGGGAGAGGUGACAGCUUACCUGAGCUAAUAAGGGUCUGGCUGGGAGCAGGUGUAGCUGUCCGUGUCAGGUACUACACUGGAUACUGGAAAUGCAAAGACGAAAGACACUGUCCCUGCCCUUAAUGAGUACUUUCUACCGGAACAGACAGACAAGAAAAUCAACGAUAGCCCUAUUAUACUCUAUGCAGAGAUCUGCGCAAAGUGCCAUGGGAGCAGAGGAGGAAGACACACUCAGACCGGGGAGAUUAGGGAAGACUUCCUAAAACAGUCUUUUGUUCCAUCUGAGACUCCAUGGGUGAGAGCAAAAGUGAAGUUUGAAGACAUAGGUAACAAUAUUUGGAAGACCAUCGAGCCCAGAAAGAGGAUAGCAUUUUUGGAAAUUAUGAAUAUUUCACUACGUUUGGGGUGAGAUGGAGGGAGUGGAAAGAAAUGAAGCUAGGAAGACAGGCUGAGGCCGGGGAGGAUCCUGCCAGAUCAGGAAGGGCUUGGUGCAUUCAAAUGAGGAGAGUCUGAACUUUAGUUCGGGAACAGAAAGUUUAUCCAUCUUCCCCACUGUUCUAUUUCCAGCACCUAACACAGUGCCUGACAUAGGAAGUACCCCAGAAUAUGAAGAGAGGACUGAUGAGCACUUCACUGAUGACAGGAAGCCACUGAAGAAUAUUAAUCAGAAUAAACAUAAUCAACUCUACAGCUGAAACCAUUCUCUUAAACAUUGCUGACAGAAGUGUAAAUCAGUACAACCGCUUUGGCAAAUGGUUUGGCAUCUUAUCCUCAAGCUGAACAUUCACACACCCCCUAAUCCAGGAAUUCUACAGGAGAUACUCUUGCUAUAUACAACAGGAGGCAUGUGUGAGAAAGUUCACAGCAGCACUAUUCAUAGUUAACGAAAGUCUGGAAGCAACCCAAAUGGCCAUUAUCAGAAGAGAAGAUGAAUGAACUACAGUAUAUUCACACGGUUCGAUACUACAUAGAAAUUAAUAAAAUACAAUGACAUGCAA